GACAUAGGUGGCGAACGUUAUCCGGAAUUAUUGGGCGUAAAGGGUGCGUAGGCGGUCUGACAAGUCUGAUGUGAAAUCUAUGGGCUCAACCCAUAGUCUGCAUCGGAAACUGUCGGGCUUGAGUAUGGGAGAGGUGAGUGGAAUUUCCGGUGUAGCGGUGAAAUGCGUAGAUAUCGGAAGGAACACCUGUGGCGAAAGCGGCUCACUGGACCAUUACUGACGCUGAGGCACGAAAGCUAGGGGAGCAAACAGG
rnacentral:rRNA from 1 species